rnacentral:ncRNA from 1 species
ACCCCCGUGAAAAUGCCCUUACAACCUAACAGGAAUGAGGAGCUGGUAUCAGGCACAAAAUUUGCCCAAGACACCUAGCCACGCCACACCCACAAGGGUUCUCAGCAGUGAUAAAAAUUGUUUAUGAGCGUCAGCUCGACUCAGUUAAAGUAAAGAGGGCCGGCAAAUCUGGUGCCAGCCGCCGCGGUUACACCAAAGGCUCAAAUUGAUUUUGUUCGGCGUAAAACGUGAUUAAAACCUUACAUAAACAUUAGAGUUAAACUUAAACUAGGCUGUCGCAAGCUUGCAGUUGGGAAAACCAGAAACGAAAGUUACUCUAACUACCCCUACUUGAACUCACGAAAACUUGAUUACAAACUAAGAUUAGAUACCUUACUAUGCAAGUCGUAAACUUUUAUUUUACACUCAAAUCGCCAGGGUAUUACGAGCAAAGCUUAAAACCCAAAGGACUUGACGGUACCCCAUAUCCACCUAGAGGAGCCUGUCCUAUAAUUGAUAACCCCCGCUAAACCUCACCACCAUUAGCUUCCUCAGCCUGUAUACUUCCGUCGUCAGCCUACCCCGUGAGCGAAAUUAAGUCAGCAUAACGUCCAUCCGCCAAUACGUCAGGUCAAGGUGCAGCAAACAUGGUGGGAAGAGAUGGGCUACACUUUCUAGCUUAGAACACACGAAAGACUAACAUGAAAACCAAGUCAGAAGGUGGAUUUAGUAGUAAAAAGAAAAUAGAGUGUUCUUUUUAAAUCGGCCCUGGGGUGUGUACACACCGCCCGUCACCCUCUUCGUAGCGUAAACUAAGUAUUUAACAAUUCCUAGCACUGAAGAAGAGGUAAGUCGUAACAUGGUAAGUAUACCGGAAGGUGUUCUUGGA